GGGUGCGAUCAUACCAGCACUAAUACACCGGAUCCCAUCAGAACUCUGCAGUUAAGGGUGCUUGGGCGAGAGUAGUACUAGAUUGGGUGACCUCCUGGGAAGUCCUGGUGUUGCACCCC
rnacentral:rRNA from 1 species